AGGAUGAAACUUAAAGGAAUUGGCGGGGGAGCACCGCAACGGGAGGAACGUGCGGUUUAAUUGGAUUCAACACCGGAAAACUCACCAGCAGCGACUAUUACAUGAAAGUCAGGCCGAUGACCUUACUAGAUUUUUAGAGAGGUGGUGCAUGGCCGUCGUCAGUUCGUACCGUAAGGCGUUCUCUUAAGUGAGAUAACGAACGAGACCCUCACCAAUAAUUGCUACUGCGUCGUCCGCGGCGUAGGCACAUUAUUGGGACCGCUGGCGCUAAGUCAGAGGAAGGAGAGGUCAACGGUAGGUCAGUAUGCCCCGAAUCUGCUGGGCUACACGCGCGUUACAAAGGGCGGGACAAUGGGCUCCGACGCCGAAAGGCGAAGGCAAUCUCGAAACCCGUCCGUAGUUCGGAUUGAGGGUUGUAACUCACCCUCAUGAAGCUGGAUUCCGUAGUAAUCGCGAAUCAACAACUCGCGGUGAAUAUGCCCCUGCUCCUUGCACACACCGCCCGUCAAACCACCCGAGUUGGGUUUCAGUGAGGUUACCUCUUUCUGGGGUAUUCGAACUGAGAUUUAGCAAGGAGGGUUAAGUCGUAACAAGGUAGCCGU
rnacentral:rRNA from 1 species